rnacentral:lncRNA from 1 species
AAAAACCAGGCAAAGAGCACUUAUCAUGUGGUGAGUACAAUAGAUAGGUUACAAGGAGAUAUCAGGGUUGAUUCCUGUCCUCAGGUAUAUGACAAUCUUGUAGCGAUACCACCAGUAACUGCUCCUUCCCCAACCCACCCAACCAAACCAAUGAGAUGUCUUGCAACACUGUAAUAUAUUACUACAUUUAUUUUCUUUUAUGACAGGUGGGCUUCAGGCCCCAGUCAGCCUGACAUAGAGGCUGGUAUGUGGCAAGGCCUGCAACAGUUCUGGGAGAAGUGAUUGCUGAGAGAUUAGAACAUAGGCUGAGAUUUUUUUUUUUUUUUUUUUUGGUGUCCUUCCUAAUUAAUCUCCCAGGCUUUGCUCAGCAGCACAGUAGUUUUUGAACCCUCUCCUUAGCCACAGCAAGCACUAGACCUAAGAUAAAUUUACAGGACAGGUUUUUGGUGUGGUUUUAUUGAUAGAAGAAACAAGGUUUCACUUGCUAGGAAAGUAUGAGUUUUACUUUUUGAAGGAAUCUUCGUUAAAAAUAAGGAUGCUUAUACUUUGAAGAGUGCUUCCUGACACUGAUGUGAAAGCAACUGACUUUGAAGCAGCCUCUCUACUGGGUUCUAAGUCUUUGUGAGUCACUUGGAAACACAAGUCUGGUAGGCAGGAGGCCUGUGUUAUUCAUAUUUUUUCCUAACUCUGACUUUUGGCACAUCAUCCCACCUCUUUGUGCUUGAGCUCUAUUGUAGUUUGAAUGUUUCUUUCAAAGUGCAUGUAUUGAAGUUUAAUCCCCAAUGCAACAGUAUUGGGAAGUGGGGCCCAGUAAUAGGUGAUUAAGUCAUGAGGGCUCUGUCCUCAUGCACAGACACAUGUUAUUAUUGUGGAGUGGAUUAGUUAUCUUGAGAAUGAGCUUGUUCUAAAAGUGAGUUCUGUCCUCUCUUGCUCUCUUUCUCUUUCUCCCACUUCCUUUUUCAUCUAUUUUCUACCAUGGGAUGAUGCAGCAAGAAGGCCCUCACCAGAUGCCAGACCCUCAGCCUUGGACUUCUCAACCCCUAGAACUAGCUC